UACGAAAGGGGCUAGCGUUGUUCGGAAUUACUGGGCGUAAAGCGCACGUAGGCGGCCUUGUAAGGUGGGGGUGAACUCCCCGGGCUCAACCCGGGAACUGCCUUCAUGACUGCAAAGCUAGAGGAUGCGAGAGGUUAGCGGAAUUCCGAGUGUAGAGGUGAAAUUCGUAGCUAGUCGGAAGAACACCAGUGGCGAAGGCGGCUAACUGGCGCAUUUCUGACGCUGAGGUGCGAACCCGUGGGGAGCAAACAGG
rnacentral:rRNA from 1 species